rnacentral:rRNA from 1 species
AGAGCGAACGCUGGCGGCAGGCUUAACACAUGCAAGUCGAACGGAGUAGCAAUACUUAGUGGCGGACGGGUGAGUAACGCGUGAGAAUCUACCUUCAGGACGGAGACAACAGUUGGAAACGACUGCUAACCCCCGAUGUACCGAAAGGGCAAAUAUUUAUAGCCUGAAGAAGAGCUCGCGUCCGAUUAGCUAGUUGGAGAGGUAAAAGCUCACCAAGGCGACGAUCGGUAGCUGGUCUGAGAGGACGAUCAGCCACACUGGGACUGAGACACGGCCCAGACUCCUACGGGAGGCAGCAGUGGGGAAUAUUGCACAAUGGGCGAAAGCCUGAUGCAGCGACGCCGCGUGAGGGAUGACGGCCUUCGGGUUGUAAACCUCUUUCAGCAGGACGAAGCGAAGUGACGGUACCUGCAGAAGAAGCACCGGCCAACUACGCGCCAGCAGCCGC